UGUCUUCACAAUGGUGGAGCAGGAGAGAGAGAGAGAGAAAGGGCAUGGAAUCCCAGGGAAUAUCCUGCAUUCUCAGUGUCCAGCUGUCUGAUGCCACAGUUGUUUAUGAUGAUCGAGGACAACUACGUUUUUCUGAGGAGACUUACCACCUCAUGGCUGAGGUAAGCUGGAUUCUAUAGAACAUUGAUUCUAUUUUCUCCUUCCUAUGUGAGCUGGGGUUACUUCUUUAGUUUUUCCUCUAAAGAUGAAAUUAUAUUUGUCAAUAAUUGUGUAAAAUAGAGACAUAAGUCUGGGAAGUAGACACUUAGAUACAACCCUCAGCAGAAAUUUUAGCCUGUUUCUCUUCUCAUUUUUAUUCAUUUGACACAGAGAGAUGCCCUGACAUGUGGUCUCUCAAGAGUAAUUAGAACAUUGUACUUCUAGAAAAGCUGAUGGGACAGGGCAGGGCUUUGAGUGAGGAUCCAAGCUUCUGUCCAAAUCUCCCAGUCUCUCUGUAUGUGGUAGGUGGAGUCAGGAAAUAUCCUAGAGUUCUGUUAGAUAUUAUUAAGAGAAAACAAAAUUUCUGUAAAUUAGAGUACUAGGGAACAUGUUCAUCAGUCAUCUUCAGAGUCAGAUGUUCAGGGUUGAGCCUGUGUGGGAGAGCACAGAGCAAUGUAUGCCUAGCAAAGCCUCUGAUCAUGUGUGAAUGGUGAGGCUCUGGUUCAGGGAGAAGUCCUGUAUCUGACAGAACAUGAUGGUUCUGUGCAUGUGAGACUCAGUGCCCUUCCUCAGCAGAGCAACACUGAGUAAAUAAGUGUUUUAGGAUCAAGCAUAUGAAGGCCAAUUUUAUUUUGAAUUUAUCAAAGACAGAAACAGGAAAAAUUUUUAUACACUUUCAAAUUGAGUAAGAGCAUCAGAAACUUCAGUAAAAAAGGCACAGGAGGAAUCUCUGGUUUCUUAUUCAUCCCCAGAAACCACAAAAAUCCUGAUACAACCUUUAAUAAUUUACCUUGUAAAAACUUGAUUUUUUCAUUGUAUAGAUUUAUCUUUCAUUUGACCUUUAUUUUACUGCAGGUUAUAAUUAGCACGUUAUUUUUUACCUUUAUGAUAGAAACAUCAGAUUCCUAAACCCAAAGCAUUAAUGAUGUCUACCCAACUGUAGUUUGUAUUGCCAGUUGACUUUUUUGCUAUCCUCUGAGUUUGUGUCUCCUUGUAAAAACUCAUUUGUAAAAACUUAAUCAUUAAUAUGAUAGUUUUAAAACAUGGAGCCUUGUGGGAAGUGACUCACUCAGGAGGGCUUCAUCCUCAUAAAUGUAAUUAAUACCCUGUAAUAGAGGUUGAAGGGAGCACUUUUGUCCUUGCCACCAUGUGAGGCACAGCAAGAAGGCACCAUUUAUGAGAAACAGGAUCCUCACCAGACCCUGAAUUUGCUGGUGCUUUGAUCUUGAACUUUACAGCCUCCAGAACUGUGACCAAUAUAUUUCUGUUAUUUAUACAUUAGCCAGUCUAAUGUAUUUUAUUUAACAGCCUGAACAGAGACACUUUCUCAUACACUGUGGUUUAUUUUAAAUUUGUACUUCCACUGAGCUAUCCAUAUAUUCAUAAAUCAGCAUGUCUCAUAGGGUGGCAUAGCCACUCUACUUUUUCAGAGUUUUCUCAGCUGUUCUCACUUAUGUUUCCAUCUAUAGGAGUCUUGCAAUAAAGUGGCUGCUUCCAAUACCAGAUGGUAUCUCUACUGGGACAAAAUUAAAUUUCUGAAUUACUUUGAAGAAAAAUGAUGAUUGAGUGAUAUUGAGCAUUUCUACCUUAGAACAUGAUUUGGUUUUCCAUUUGUUUAUGCUGAUUUUCUUAUAUUUCAAGGACUUUUUAUGGUCUUUCUCAUAUGCUUAACAAAUGUUUGUUAGAUUUAUGUAUAGCUAGUUUAUUUUAUUUAGUCCUGUUAAAAAGUAAACUGUAGCACAAUACAAAUUUUAAAAGUUUUCUUGGCUGGGAAUGGUGGCUCAUAUCUGUGAUUCCAGCACUUUGAGAGGCCAGGUUGAGGGGAUUACUUGAGCCCAGAAGUUUGAGGCCAGCCUGGGAAAUAUAGUGAGACCCUGUCUCUACAAAAUACAAGAAGAAAUUAGCCAAGUGUGGUGGUGCAUGCCUGUAGUUGCAGCUACUCAUGGGGCUAAGGUGGGAGGAUGGCUUGAGCUCAGGAUGUAAGGCUGCAGAGAGCUUUGAUUCUGUGUACACACUCCAGCAUGGACAAUAGAGCAAGAACCCGUUUUAAAAAUAUUUUCUUGAGAAAGAAGCAACUUAUGAAUUGUGGAACACCAGAGCAAGAGAGGCUUUCCACUUCAACGGCAAAGUGUCAGAGUCAACAAGAUGAGGUCCCUGAGGAUGUCUAACUGAUUCUGUCCACUCGGGAAUGUUUCGGACUUGGUCUUCCUUUUAAUUUACUUUAUAAAUCAUUUUGUAAUUUUUAUCUCCUACUCAUUCUGUAACAGGUAACACAACUGACCAGAAGAAAAACAGCCUAGAUCCUGAGCAUUCAGCCUGUGUCUUCACACAACAAACACCACCUGAGUCCCAUCAAAGCCUGUGUUGUUUCCCAACAUCCACCAUUGAGACAUAUUCCAGAGCAGCCUCUCAAAAUCACCUAAACAAGAUGGAACAAGGUAUGAUGGAGCUUCCAGGCUCAGGACAGCUGCCUCAUUCCUUCCUACUAAGAAAUCUGUAUCUGCUGGUUAGAGCUAUCAAACUGUAGAAGACUUAGUUCAUGUCCCAGCAAGUGUCCCCUAAAAUGACCUUCUUGUUUUUCCCUCUUCUGAGAAAAGCAUGCAGGAAUAAGAACUUCUAUGGUAGAGAGUACUUGCUCUUCCGCUCUCAGAUGGCUUGGUUGACUGAUGAACUGAUGCCCUGAGGAGGGGAAAGAUCCAGGGAAGAGCCUGUGCUGGGUGACUCUGUGUUUUCCCAGCUGUGCUGUUUGUGUGCAAAUAGUGGAACCCCCAAGAAAUCAGGUGAUAGACAGACAGACACUGCCUAAUAAAAUUGUCUGAAUUUAAAUAGGAUUUAAAUGGAACUUAUAAUAUCAUUAUAUAUUGAUACUAUAAUAUUAUAUAUAAUUUAUUUGAUAUAUAAACAAAUUUUGAAUAUAUGUUAUAAUAUCUUAAGCAGUCAUUUACACAAGAGCAGAUAAUAUUCUUAGAUUCUAUUAAGUUUAUAAGUUAAUGUUGUUAUAAAAUUUAACACAAUUUUCUUAUAAAUUACCUAACAAAAUUUUAAUGUUAUUAUAAUAUCAUAGUAAUACAUAUGAAUUGUGAUACCUUAAUAUAUUGUGAUGUCAUAAUACAUAUGAAUUGAUAUCAAAAUAUAUUGUGCUGUCAUAAUACAUACAAAUUAUGAUAUCAUAAAAUAUUGUGAUGUCAUGAUACAUACAAAUUAUGGUGUCAUGUACAUUGUGAUGUCAUGAUACAUACAAAUUAUGGUAUUAUAAUAUAUUGUGAUGUCAUAACACAUAUGUGAUAUCAUAUUUAUUUAUUUUUAUGAUAUAAUAACGUAAAAUUUUGUCAGUUAAUUUUAUAAGAAAAUUGAGUUAAAUUGUGUAACAACAUUAACAUAUAAAGAAGCUUAGAGUCACGGUGAAAGAUGAAAGAGGAGCAGGCAUCUCACAUGGUAGGAAUGGGAACAGGAAAGAUGGGGGAGGGAUAGGUCUCACUUUUAAACCAACCAAUCUCGUGAGUACUCACCAUGACAAACACAGCACAACGCCAUGAGGAAUCCAUCCCCAUGCUUCAACCACCUCCCAUCAGGCCCACUUGUAACAUUAGGGAUUAAAGUUUAAUAUGAGAUUGGAGGGGACAUCUCAACUAUAUCAUAUGACCAUUAGAAAAACAGAUGAAACACUCAUGGUUUCUACUGUCCAGAUACUUUCAUUCCAGAGCAAAUGGCUAAAUGAUUGAAUUCAACAUUCUGUGGUCAGAAGAGAGAAGGGAGGGGUACAGGGGACUUUGGUUACAUUUGUUCCACUUCCCUUAUGUUGUUGUUGUGAGAUCUGAUGUCACCACCUGAAGUGCAAUUCACAGACAGAAGAAUUAUUGUUAUUGUUGUGAUUAUUCCUAUUUCUUUUACCUCAGUAAAAAUAAUUUUUUAGCUUCCCAUUUAAUUGUCCUAAAACACCCUAAGUGUUUUUUUUUUAAUUCCUUGUUAUUGUGUGUUAUAAAAAUUGACAGGGAAAUGGCUAAAAUAGAUUAAAUUAUACAAACUCUAGAAGUCAAGUUUUUACAGGGCAGGCUUAAGAAAGACAGAACUAGAAAUACUGCACCAGCAUAGACAUCAGCCACAUGGGACCCACU
rnacentral:lncRNA from 10 species